GACGAACGCUGGCGGCCUGCUUAACACAUGCAAGUCGAACGGAAAGGCCCAGCUUGCUGGGUGCUCGAGUGGCGAACGGGUGAGUAACACGUGGGUGAUCUGCCCCUAACUUCGGGAUAAGCUUGGGAAACUGGGUCUAAUACCGGAUAGGACAAUCGUUUAGUGUCGGUUGUGGAAAGUUUUUUCGGUUAGGGAUGAGCCCGCGGCCUAUCAGCUUGUUGGUGGGGUAAUGGCCUACCAAGGCGUCGACGGGUAGCCGGCCUGAGAGGGUGGACGGCCACAUUGGGACUGAGAUACGGCCCAGACUCCUACGGGAGGCAGCAGUGGGGAAUAUUGCACAAUGGCGCAAGCCUGAUGCAGCGACGCCGCGUGGGGGAUGACGGCCUUCGGGUUGUAAACCUCUUUCGACAGGGACGAAGCUUUGGUGACGGUACCUGUAGAAGAAGCACCGGCUAACUACGUG
rnacentral:rRNA from 1 species